rnacentral:rRNA from 1 species
UACGUAGGGUGCGAGCGUUGUCCGGAAUUAUUGGGCGUAAAGAGCUUGUAGGCGGUUUGUCGCGUCUGCCGUGAAAGUCCGGGGCUCAACUCCGGAUCUGCGGUGGGUACGGGCAGACUAGAGUGAUGGUAGGGAGACUGGAAUUCCUGGUGUAGCGGUGAAAUGCGCAGAUAUCAGGAGGAACACCGAGUGGCGAAGGCGGUCUCUGGGCGAUUAACUGACGC